NACCGCGACCCCAGGUCAGGCGGGACUACCCGC
rnacentral:rRNA from 1 species